AUUUUGUUCAUUCUUUCUCAUUUUCGUUUACCUUAGACACUUCGUAACUAAUCGCGUGGCAUAUAACUAAGGCAUAGGUUUUCACAGACUGUAAUUCGUUUUGGUAUGCGCACCGUAACUGAAAAGUAAUCGUCUACAAAAGCCUAACUGAUUAACGAAUAGCGUGCAAAACCCGCGCACCGCACCAGUAAAGAAGUGAACGAAGUACCCUAUUGCCAUGACUUGCUUGUUGUUCUAACACCAAAUCGAGUGCCAGAGGUGACACCGAAUGUAGUAUAUAAGGUAUAGGUAUACAUUUAUAUAUGUCAGUUAAAAUGUUUAAUAGUACGAAAGUAAAAAUAUUGUGUGUAUUUACAGCAUAUGUAACAUCGAAAUUAAAAGCAAGCUAAAUAUU